UACGUAGGGUGCGAGCGUUGUCCGGAAUUAUUGGGCGUAAAGAGCUUGUAGGCGGUUUGUCGCGUCUGCUGUGAAAAUCCGGGGCUCAACCCCGGACUUGCAGUGGGUACGGGCAGACUAGAGUGUGGUAGGGGAGACCGGAAUUCCUGGUGUAGCGGUGAAAUGCGCAGAUAUCAGGAGGAACACCGAUGGCGAAGGCAGGUCUCUGGGCCACUACUGACGCUGAGAAGCGAAAGCAUGGGGAGCGAACAGG
rnacentral:rRNA from 1 species